rnacentral:rRNA from 1 species
UACAGAGGGUGCAAGCGUUUGUUCGGAAUUACUGGGCGUAAAGCGCGUGUAGGCGGCUUGGCAAGUCCUGUGUGAAAGCCCUGGGCUCAACCCAGGAAGUGCGCAGGAUACUGCCGAGCUGGAGUAGCGGAGAGGAUGGCGGAAUACCCGGUGUAGAGGUGAAAUUCGUAGAUAUCGGGUGGAACACCUGUGGCGAAGGCGGCCAUCUGGACGUUCACUGACGCUGAGACGCGAAAGCGUGGGUAGCAAACAGG